GAUUAAGUUAUUAAGGGCGCACGGUGGAUGCCUUGGCACUAGAAGCCGAUGAAGGACGUUACUAACGACGAUAUGCUUUGGGGAGCUGUAAGUAAGCUUUGAUCCAGAGAUUUCCGAAUGGGGAAACCCAGCAUGAGUUAUGUCAUGUUAUCGAUAUGUGAAUACAUAGCAUAUCAGAAGGCACACCCGGAGAACUGAAACAUCUUAGUACCCGGAGGAAAAGAAAGAAAAUUCGAUUCCCUUAGUAGCGGCGAGCGAAA
rnacentral:rRNA from 1 species